rnacentral:rRNA from 1 species
GAGUUUGAUCGUGGCUCAGAACGAACGCUAUCGGUAUGCUUAACACAUGCAAGUCGAACGGACUAAUUGGGGCUUGCUCCAAUUAGUUAGUGGCAGACGGGUGAGUAACACGUGGGAAUCUACCCAUCAGUACGGAAUAACUUUUAGAAAUAAAAGCUAAUACCGUAUAUUCUCUACGGAAGAAAGAUUUAUCGCUGAUGGAUGAGCCCGCGUCAGAUUAGGCCGUUGGUGAGGUAACGGCUCACCAAGCCGACGAUCUGUAGCUGGUCUGAGAGGAUGAUCAGCCACACUGGGACUGAGACACGGCCCAGACUCCCACGGGAGGCAGCAGUGGGGAAUAUUGGACAAUGGGCGAAGGCCUGAUCCAGCAAUACCAAGUGAGUGAUGAAGGCCUUAGGGUUGUAAAGCUCUUUUAGCAAGGAAGAUAAUGACGUUACUUGCAGAAAAGCCCCGGCUAACUCCGUGCCAGCAGCCGCCGUAAG